rnacentral:rRNA from 1 species
AGAGUUUGAUCCUGGCUCAGGAUGAACGCUAGCGACAGGCUUAACACAUGCAAGUCGAGGGGCAGCGGGGGAGUAGCAAUGCUCCCGCCGGCGACCGGCGCACGGGUGAGUAACACGUAUGGAACCUGCCCGCAGCAGGGGGAUAAGCGGAAGAAAUUCCGUCUAAUACCGCGUAACACCGCGGAGGGGCAUCCCUCGGCGGUUAAAGAUUCAUCGGCUGCGGAUGGCCAUGCGGCGCAUUAGCUAGUCGGCGGGGUAACGGCCCACCGAGGCGACGAUGCGUAGGGGUUCUGAGAGGAAGGUCCCCCACACUGGUACUGAGACACGGACCAGACUCCUACGGGAGGCAGCAGUGAGGAAUAUUGGUCAAUGGCCGGGAGGCUGAACCAGCCAAGUCGCGUGAGGGAAGACGGCCCUACGGGUUGUAAACCUCUUUUGUCAGGGAGCAAGGUGCAGGUCGGGACCUGCUGUGAGAGUACCUGAAGAAAAAGCAUCGGCUAACUCCGUGCCAGCAGCCGCGGUAAUACGGAGGAUGCGAGCGUUAUCCGGAUUUAUUGGGUUUAAAGGGUGCGCAGGCGGAGGCACAAGUCAGCGGUAAAAUCGCGGGGCUCAACCCCGCUCCGCCGUUGAAACUGUGUCCCCUGAGUGCGCGAAGGGUAGGCGGAAUGCGUGGUGUAGCGGUGAAAUGCAUAGAUAUCACGCAGAACUCCGAUCGCGAAGGCAGCCUACCGGCGCGCAACUGACGCUCAUGCACGAAAGCGUGGGGAUCGAACAGGAUUAGAUACCCUGGUAGUCCACGCAGUAAACGAUGAAUGCUAGUUGUCCGGUUCUUUGGGACUGGGUGACACAGCGAAAGCGUUAAGCAUUCCACCUGGGGAGUACGCCGGCAACGGUGAAACUCAAAGGAAUUGACGGGGGCCCGCACAAGCGGAGGAACAUGUGGUUUAAUUCGAUGAUACGCGAGGAACCUUACCCGGGCUCAAACGUCGGAGGACGUGUGGAGAAAUCCGCAUUUCCCUCGGGACUUCCGACGAGGUGCUGCAUGGUUGUCGUCAGCUCGUGCCGUGAGGUGUCGGCUUAAGUGCCAUAACGAGCGCAACCCCCAUCUACAGUUGCUAACAGGUGAAGCUGAGGACUCUGUGGAGACUGCCGGCGCAAGCUGAGAGGAAGGCGGGGAUGACGUCAAAUCAGCACGGCCCUUACGUCCGGGGCGACACACGUGUUACAAUGGCAGGUACAGCGGGAAGCCACUUGGCGACAAGGAGCGGAACCCGAAAACCUGUCUCAGUUCGGAUUGGAGUCUGCAACCCGACUCCAUGAAGCUGGAUUCGCUAGUAAUCGCGCAUCAGCCACGGCGCGGUGAAUACGUUCCCGGGCCUUGCACUCACCGCCCGUCA